AACUACCGGUUACUAGGUAGAAGACCGCAAAGAGAAGGAAACCCGUCAUUGGUUAGGAUAAACAUAUCAAGGAUUAACUCUCUGAGGAACAAAAUAGGGAUUACAACUACCUUUUUACUGGGUAGAAUACCAUGAAAGAGAAAAUCUGUCAUCGGUUAAGAUGAACAUAUCAAGGAUAGACUCUUGGAAAAUAAUCCACUAGGGACUCUACUGAAGAGAGAAACAGGGAUACUUUCGUCGGGUAUUGGGCAAGAAGUAAC
rnacentral:lncRNA from 1 species